UACGUAGGGUGCAAGCGUUGUCCGGAAUUAUUGGGCGUAAAGAGCUCGUAGGCGGUUUGUCGCGUCGAAUGUGAAAACCCGGGGCUCAACCCCGGGCCUGCAUUCGAUACGGGCAGACUAGAGUUCGGCAGGGGAGACUGGAAUUCCUGGUGUAGCGGUGAAAUGCGCAGAUAUCAGGAGGAACACCGGUGGCGAAGGCGGGUCUCUGGGCCGAAACUGACGCUGAGGAGCGAAAGCGUGGGGAGCAAACAGG
rnacentral:rRNA from 1 species